GCCUAAGGGACGCAGCAGUGAGGAAUAUUGGUCAAUGGGCGGAAGCCUGAACCAGCCAAGUCGCGUGAGGGAAUAAGGCCCUACGGGUCGUAAACCUCUUUUGCCGGGGAGCAAGGGCGGGGACGUGUCCCGGCCCGGAGAGUACCCGGAGAAAAAGCAUCGGCUAACUCCGUGCCAGCAGCCGCGGUAAUACGGAGGAUGCGAGCGUUAUCCGGAUUUAUUGGGUUUAAAGGGAACGAAGGCGGUCUUUUAAGUCUGAUGUGAAAGUCUCGGGCUCAACCGGAGCAGGGCAUUGGAAC
rnacentral:rRNA from 1 species